rnacentral:rRNA from 1 species
AGUGAACGCUGGCGGUAGGCCUAACACAUGCAAGUCGAACGGCAGCACAGUAAGAGCUUGCUCUUACGGGUGGCGAGUGGCGGACGGGUGAGGAAUACAUCGGAAUCUACUUUUUCGUGGGGGAUAACGUAGGGAAACUUACGCUAAUACCGCAUACGACCUACGGGUGAAAGCAGGGGAUCUUCAGACCUUGCGCGAUUGAAUGAGCCGAUGUCGGAUAGCUAGUUGGCGGGGUAAAGGCCCACCAAGGCGACGAUCCGUAGCUGGUCUGAGAGGAUGAUCAGCCACACUGGAACUGAGACACGGUCCAGACUCCUACGGGAGGCAGCAGUGGGGAAUAUUGGACAAUGGGCGCAAGCCUGAUCCAGCCAUACCGCGUGGGUGAAGAAGGCCUUCGGGUUGUAAAGCCCUUUUGUUGGGAAAGAAAAGCAGCAGGUUAAUACCCCGCUGUUCUGACGGUACCCAAAGAAUAAGCACCGGCUAACUUCGUG